rnacentral:ncRNA from 2 species
AAAAGUAUAAAGGGAAAUGGUUGUUGUGUUUUUUUAACACUAACAUUAAAAGAGAAUUCGGUGUGAAUCCGAAACUGUCCCGCAGCUGUAAGCUCAUAACGGAAACCUAAUUUAUGGUCACUUUUCAAUAGAAGGGGAAGGCCAGGUGAAAGGAGUAAGUCAGAAGACCUGCCAUUUUUUAUUAAUUCAA